UACGUAGGGUGCGAGUGUUAAUCGGAAUUACUGGGCGUAAAGCGUGCGCAGGCGGUGAUGUAAGACAGAUGUGAAAUCCCCGGGCUCAACCUGGGAACUGCAUUUGUGACUGCAUCGCUGGAGUGCGGCAGAGGGGGAUGGAAUUCCGCGUGUAGCAGUGAAAUGCGUAGAUAUGCGGAGGAACACCGAUGGCGAAGGCAAUCCCCUGGGCCUGCACUGACGCUCAUGCACGAAAGCGUGGGGAGCAAACAGG
rnacentral:rRNA from 1 species